GCUCUUGUAGUUCAAUGGAUAGAAUGUCGGCUUGCGGAGCCGAUGAUCCAGGUUCGAAUCCUGGCAAGAGCA
rnacentral:tRNA from 1 species